rnacentral:rRNA from 1 species
AUGGCAGUUGACCGCGCCGACAAGGAGAAUAUGCCGCCGGCGACCGCCGCCGUCGCCCGUCCUCAUGGCGUGGCCGUCAAGAGCUGCAAGCUGAAGCGGCUCGGGAGGGCGCGGAGGCGGGUGCCGCUCAGGGACAUCACCAACCUCUUCGUUGCCGAGUCGGCGGUCGCCGAGUGGCAGCAGGCCCUGCUCCAGCAGUCGCACGAGGGGUCGGCGGCGGCGGAGCUGGCCGUGAAGAACGGGCCUGCCGGUGUCGUGGUACUGAAGCCUGGCAGAUACGUGCUCCGGAAAGAGUUUAGAUAG